CAGGCCCUACGGGGUGCAGCAGGCGCGAAAACUUUACAAUGCUGGGAACAGCGAUAAGGGAACCUCGAGUGCCAGGUUACAAAUCUGGCUGUCGUGAUGCCUAAAAAGCAUUAUAUAGCAAGGGCCGGGCAAGACCGGUGCCAGCCGCCGCGGUAACACCGGCGGCUCGAGUGGUAACCGUUAUUAUUGGGUCUAAAGGGUCUGUAGCCGGCCGGAUAAGUCUCUUGGGAAAUCUGGCAGCUCAACUGUCAGGCUUUCAGGGGAUACUGUCUGGCUCGAGGCCGGGAGAGGUGAGAGGUACUUCAGGGGUAGGGGUGAAAUCUUGUAAUCCUUGAAGGACCACCAGUGGCGAAGGCGUCUCACCAGAACGGACCUGACGGCAAGGGACGAAAGCUAGGGGCACGAACCGGAUUAGAUACCCGGGUAGUCCUAGCCGUAAACGAUACUCGCUAGGUGUCGGCCACGGUGCGACCGUUGUCGGUGCCGUAGGGAAGCCGUGAAGCGAGCCACCUGGGAAGUACGGCCGCAAGGCUGAAACUUAAAGGAAUUGGCGGGGGAGCACAACAACGGGUGGAGCCUGCGGUUUAAUUGGACUCAACGCCGGACAACUCACCGGGGACGACAGCAAUA
rnacentral:rRNA from 1 species